GAGUUCUUCCACAUCUCUCCCAUCAAGGUCUGUAUGAGCUUCUCUCUGAGCGCUGGAGGAGAGGACGGUCUGAAGGAGAAGAGGGACAAAGAGCUGAUCCCAGUGCAGAGUCUGAAGCUGCUGCUGAAGAGUAUAGGAGCCACGCUGACCGACGUGCAGGACGUGGUCUUUAAACUGGCCUUUUUUG